GUGCCUCAGCUCUGUAUAAGAAUGCUGAUUUGAUGUGGAGGCAGCGUGUGUGGACAGGCCAGAUUUGCAGUCACCUAGCAACCAAACACCUGAGAGAGGGGGGGCUGCUCACACUUGCAGGGGCUAAAGCAGCACUGGGUCCAACAGCAAGCUUUUCUAUAAGUGGACAACAGGAGAGAAUAGACCUCCUUCAGGUAGCUACUCUGAUGCAGCUGGUUACUGCAGACGGAAAAACGGAGGCUACACCGGUGUUAUGAUUAAUUUGAUGAUAAUCAGACUCCUUUAAGCCAAGCCAAUAACCCACUACUGUCUCUGCAUUAGUGAUGCUUUUUAUCAUAUUGCCUUUUUGUUUACAUGUAAAAAAAAAAAAAAAAAUGUUGUAGUUAUUUAAAACUGGAUAAUUGCAUACAAAUGUCAAAGAUUAUGUUUUAUAAAUGUGAUUUGACUCCUAACCCUAA